rnacentral:rRNA from 1 species
UACGUAGGGUGCGAGCGUUGUCCGGAAUUAUUGGGCGUAAAGGGCUCGUAGGCGGUUUGUCGCGUCGGGAGUGAAAUCCACUGGCUUAACUGGUGGCUUGCUUUCGAUACGGGCAGACUGGAGGUAUGCAGGGGAGAACGGAAUUCCUGGUGUAGCGGUGAAAUGCGCAGAUAUCAGGAGGAACACCGGUGGCGAAGGCGGUUCUCUGGCGAUGCCCUGACGCUGAGGAGCGAAAGUGUGGGGAGCGAACAGG